rnacentral:rRNA from 1 species
CACGUAGGAGGCGAGCGUUGUCCGGAUUUAUUGGGCGUAAAGCGCGCGUAGGCGGUUAGCCAAGUCCCGGGUGAAAUCUCUCGGCUUAACCGGGAGGGGUCUCGGGAUACUGGUUGACUUGAGGGCAGUAGGGGAGAGCGGAAUUCCCGGUGUAGUGGUGAAAUGCGUAGAUAUCGGGAGGAACACCCGUAGCGAAGGCGGCUCUCUGGACUGUUCCUGACGCUGAGGUGCGAAAGCGUGGGGAGCGAACCGG